AGAGUUUGAUCAUGGCUCAGGACGAACGCUGGCGGCGUGCCUAAUACAUGCAAGUCGAGCGGACAGAAGGGAGCUUGCUCCCGGAUGUUAGCGGCGGACGGGUGAGUAACACGUGGGUAACCUGCCUGUAAGACUGGGAUAACUCCGGGAAACCGGAGCUAAUACCGGAUAGUUCCUUGAACCGCAUGGUUCAAGGAUGAAAGACGGUUUCGGCUGUCACUUACAGAUGGACCCGCGGCGCAUUAGCUAGUUGGUGAGGUAACGGCUCACCAAGGCGACGAUGCGUAGCCGACCUGAGAGGGUGAUCGGCCACACUGGGACUGAGACACGGCCCAGACUCCUACGGGAGGCAGCAGUAGGGAAUCUUCCGCAAUGGACGAAAGUCUGACGGAGCAACGCCGCGUGAGUGAUGAAGGUUUUCGGAUCGUAAAGCUCUGUUGUUAGGGAAGAACAAGUGCAAGAGUAACUGCUUGCACCUUGACGGUACCUAACCAGAAAGCCACGGCUAACUACGUGCCAGCAGCCGCGGUAAUACGUAGGUGGCAAGCGUUGUCCGGAAUUAUUGGGCGUAAAGGGCUCGCAGGCGGUUUCUUAAGUCUGAUGUGAAAGCCCCCGGCUCAACCGGGGAGGGUCAUUGGAAACUGGGAAACUUGAGUGCAGAAGAGGAGAGUGGAAUUCCACGUGUAGCGGUGAAAUGCGUAGAGAUGUGGAGGAACACCAGUGGCGAAAGCGACUCUCUGGUCUGUAACUGACGCUGAGGAGCGAAAGCGUGGGGAGCGAACAGGAUUAGAUACCCUGGUAGUCCACGCCGUAAACGAUGAGUGCUAAGUGUUAGGGGGUUUCCGCCCCUUAGUGCUGCAGCUAACGCAUUAAGCGCUCCGCCUGGGGAGUACGGUCGCAGACUGAAACUCAAAGUAUGACG
rnacentral:rRNA from 1 species